rnacentral:rRNA from 1 species
GAUUUCUGGGCUCAAGAAUUUGGCCGGCCACGGUUUCGUGUGUUAGUGCUUUGUUCUGUGUCCAUCCUUCCAAUUGCUAUUCAUCUUUCUUCAUUGAUGGGUGAGUGGUAUUGGAUCUUUUACUUUGAAAAAAUUAGAGUGUUUCAAGCAGGCUUAAUGCUAUGAAUACAUUAGCAUGGAAUAAUAAUUUAGGACUUCGGUUCUAUUUUGUUGGUUUCUAGGACUGAAGUAAUGAUUGAUAGGGAUAGUUGGGUGUGCUAGUAUUCAGCGGCCAGAGGUGAAAUUCUCGGAUUCGCUGAAGACUAACUUAUGCGAAAGCAUU